rnacentral:rRNA from 1 species
UAAGGAAUAUUGGUCAAUGGAGGCAACUCUGAACCAGCCAUGCCGCGUGCAGGAAGACGGCCCUCUGGUUUGUAAGCUGCUUUUAUUCGGGAAUAAACCUGCUUACGUGUAAGUAGCUGAAUGUACCGAAGGAAUAAGGAUCCGCUAACUCCGUGCCAGCAGCCGCGGUCAUACGGAGGAUCCAAGCGUUAACCGGAUUUAUUGGGUUUAAAGGGUGCGUAGGCGGCUUAUUAAGUCAGGGGUGAAAGACGGUGGCUCAACCAUCGCAGUGCCCUUGAUACUGAUGAGCUUGAAUGAACUAGAGGUAGGCGAAAUGUGACAAGUAGAGGUGAAAUGCAUAGAUAUGUCACAGAACACCGAUUGCGAAGGCAGCUUACGAUGGUUUUAUUGACGCUGAGGCACGAAAGCGUGGGGAUCAAACA